UAUUGUAACAUCCGAGUUGUGAUAUAUGAAAAUGCUUAAGAGAAUUGAUUUGGCUACUUAUGUCAUCAAAGUUGACUUACAUUUUCCGUCGCACAUCCGUUUAGAACUUCAGAGUUAGGCAUGCUUUAUCUGGAAUAACGGAAGGAUGAGUGACCUAUCAGGAAGUGAUCUGCAAUACCGUGUGAGUGAGGCCAAAGCACAUGGAAAAGUCACGUGGUGAUUAAAGGGUUAGUAAAUAAGACUUUCGUGUCUUUGGAAAAUUAACACACCGACCGUUAGAAUGAAAUUGGAUCUACGGACCGAGAAAACGACGUGGAUGGCCUAUUAACUGUGGGCGGUUGGGACAUUAUAGUUAUUCUACCCAUAGUUGAAUUAAAAUAAAUUAUUUUAAUACUUAGUGUAGUGAAUAGUGUGUUUUACUAAAUUUGGUAUAAUAAUAUUUACAAAAUAUUAAUUUUGGAAAGAACAAUAUUAUAUUUGGUACUAUAUUGGAGAUGAAAUUACAAUAAUUUGUUGUUUUGGUGUUUCAUUAGAAUUGGUCUAAAAACACUACAACUAACAAGCGAAGGAUGGACGGACAAAUGAUUAAAAGGUGAAGCUCAAAACCCAAAAUUACAGAGCCAAACUAUACAUACUCGGAGCUGUUUAAUUUUAUGUUUCUUUAGCUUUAUAUAAUUUUGUGUUGAUCCCUCCUAUAAGAUUAUAGUCUGUUUUUCUUCAUUUUUCUGUGGUGAAAAUUUCCUUUCACUCUUGAGAUAUUUUGCCAUAAAAAUCCUCUGAUAAUUAAGAAGUUAUCAUAAGUAAUUGUAUCUGCUAAAUAGGAAAAAUAUACAUUAUUCAAAAUGGUCCUAACAGAAAUUAGUACGACAAGAUUUAAACGAGUUGUACUAUAUAUUAACCAAAAUAUAUUUAGUUUCUAAAAGGAAUUUUAUUGUUUGAUAAAGGAAUUAGGUGUAUAAUAUAUACGUAUUAUAUCAUCAACAUUAUUUGCUAUUGAAGCCCGUCAUGGCUGAGCAAAGUAUGUCUUCCUCUUUAAGCAAAAGUAAACAAGUACAAAUUAAUAAUGCAAUAACUAAUAAUGUAGUGAUGAAAUACUGCCUUUAUAGUUGCGAAGGCAGGGCACCUGGAUUCACGCAGACUUGUAUUGUAAAGAGAAUAUCUGUUGUCACAUUUACAAAUUUUUUUUUUGUUACUUAGAUCGGUUAAACAAAAGAUCUUCAAGAUUUCUUGAUAAUAAUGAUGUUAUUAUACAUGCAUCAUUAUAUUAUAAUAUAUGGGCAACUUGGUUUUCUCCUUAGAGCAGCAUUAACGCAAGCUCCUAACCACGUCUCUUAGCAUUAAUGGGAUUUAAAAAAAAAGGAAAUUAGUAUAAUGGAGAGAAGACGUAUCUUAAUUAGGAGAAAUAAGAGACGUGUUUUCUUGGACACGUGUUGUGUUUUGCGGGCUUUGUGACUCUCUCCUUCGCUCCAUUUCGUUGCCGCGUCUCUCCAUCUCUCCUCGACGACUCCGGUGAUUUCUUCAUCUCGUCACGAUCGGAUGAAGGAUUAGGCGUCACUCUCGAUUCCUCACGUUUUCGUCUACGAAGACUCUCGGUUCCUCUCCUACCUCACCGUCGACCGUAGUCACUAACGGAAGGAGCUUCGAUCCUCAUCUCGAUCCAUAUCCACUCGAGCAGAUCUCUCUUCCCACCGCGAUGUCGAAAGCUCCGACGUGAACGUGAUCCGUCCCAAAGAGUAUUGGGAUUACGAGUCUCUCAAUGUUGAGUGGGGAGCUCUGAACAAUCUUGGGAGCAUCUACAUCGAUUGUUCGAUGCUAGAUCAAGCUGAAACUGCAUACAGGAACGCUCUAGAGAUCAAACACAUUCGUGCUCAUCAAGGCCUAGCAAGAGUUUACUUCCUGAAGAUUCAACGUAAAAGAAGCGUGCGAGGAGAUGACAAAGCUGAUUGAGAAGGCGUUUAGCAAAGCAGCAGCCUAUGAGAAACGGUCUGAGUACUGCGAACGUGAAAAAGCCAAAGAGGAUCUCGACAUGGCCACAACACUUGACCCUCUUCGAACCUAUCCUUACAGAUACCGAGCUGCUGGUAAACUAAACUCUUCUCUUUGCCUGUUGAUGUAAAGAUCGUAGUUGCUCUUUGUAUCGUUUACAAUCGGUAGAUAGAUCUAGGAAAGCAAUGAAGUUGUGUUUUCUUGGGAAUCGGAUAAGCUCGUACCAUUGUCGUCUCUGUCUUGUGCUGUUCCCUCAUAGUGGCUUCAAUACAUCAUUUUUAUGUUCCCUUAUAGUGGCUUCAAUAAAAAUGAUUUUUGAGUUUUAGCAAUGAUAGAAGCUGUGUUAAUGACUUGGGUAGCUUCUCCACUGUUUUCUUGAGGCAUCGAUUGAAACAGGUGAACUUUAUGUGAUAGUUAGCAUGCUCUGCAUUUUCAUUUCAUUACUCUAAAUCUUUGCAACGAUAUAAACAGAGACGCACGUUUUUCUCUGUGUGUCUUCAUGCUCACAUAUGUUUUAUUAGCUGAAUAUAUGUCGUAGUAGUGUCUUAUUAUGCAUGUUUGUCAAUGGUUCAAAAAAUUUUAAGUUUAAUAAAAAGUUUUUUUAAGAACUUUUAAUUAAGAACCUUGCAAUGGACCACAAACAAGUUUAGGUUUCUUAAUGUUGUUUCUUAACUCACUUUUUCUACUUAAAAGUAUUAAAAAAAAAAUAAGAACCCCCAAAUGGGUCUUUGGGAUAAUCAUGCUCUUAGUCCGCCUAGUAUUUUCUUCCUUUUCCAAGAGUCUUUACGGGGUAUUAGAUGUAUUGAUAGUUUUCUGACAAAAUAAUACUAAAUAUUGUUCCUUCUAAGUACCUUUAUUGCUUUUUUUGGUCUAGUUCAACAGUUUUCUGUUUUUAAUUAUUUUAGUCGGUUUUCUUAUGUUUAUGUUGUAUCUUGAGAUGUUUUAAAUCUCUGUGCAUCAACAAAAGUCCGGUAUUUCUUGCGUGUGUCGUAAGCGCAAAAAAGGAAAAUUCACUAUCAAGAUUGACUUCUGAAGGAUGUGACCGUGUGAGGGAUGUAGGCUUCCACAGUAAAAUAUGUCUUAUUGGUUUAGAAAAUUUUAUUUUUUCUAGAUAAAUAUAUAUUUCUAUAUAGAAAAAAAAAUCGGGUUUUGAGAGUGAUAUAAAUACAGAUAUAAAGAUUUAUAAAUUAAUUCAUUCACAUAAUAAUAAAACACCCUAAAUGAGUAUUUGCUUCGAUAUGUUUUUUCUCUCUUUUGUUUUUUUCGAGUUACUUCUCGUUUGUUCACAGCAUCUUAGUACCGAAUUUAAGUUUUUAAUUAGAAGUUGUAGGCAUAUCUGGUAUACCGUAUACUUGGAGUCUUCACUUUAAUUUUUAGGUCGUACAUGAGGAAGAGCAUGCACUUGGAUACUUGGAAUGUCAUGAUGAAUUCAUCAAGGAGAAAUAAAAGAACCUUCAAAAGUUGAGGAGAAGACAUGUUAAUCAGUAAUCUAAACCGAUGAUCCAACCGAUCAAGAAUAAGUAUAACAAAUGAGCUAACCGAUCACCAUGACAGAUCAAGAUAAUGAUCAUCAACAUUGUUCUAGACGGCUCGAAGAUUCACCAAAGCAAACAUAUUAAGCCAUGUUGAGAUAUCAUCUUAAGUAAUCUACUAUGUUAUUUGAAAUUUCAAGAUUGACUCGGUUUAUUUGAGACGAACUAGCUAGUCUGAACCAAAUUUGUAUUUAAUCAUCUUUAUGAGAUUAUAUGCCUAAUUUUUAUUGUCUAAGUUC